UUCAAGGUUCAGUUUCUACAUGGCCCCUGUGGUCUGAAUCCCAGCCCAGUGCUGGGUCCCUCCUCCACCCGGUCAAUUCUCUCAUGGGAUUCCUGCCGAGUCACUUCACCCUCAGGCCUUCAGUCUCCUCACCUGCCUGCACGAUGACAGGGCUGGACCAGAUGGAAAGCCCAAGAUCCUUUGAAACCCUCUUGCCAAGACACCCCAAAUAGCUGUCUGAUCAGUAUUU